UGAGCAUCUGGUGCCAGCACGGUGGGGAUGCUUGGGAUGAUGCAAACAGGUUGUGUUUGCAGAAGAGAAAGGUGUGGGAUUUUGGAAGGAGAGCAAGAACACUUUCAUGCUUUAACUGGAUACAAAUCCAAGGGUGUCAUCCUGGUUUAGAGGGUGGAAGGACUGGUGGGAGGAAGGGUUGAUAUCCAGCCAUUAGUUUUAUUUCACUCCAUAAACCAGAGAGGAGGAAGUGGCAGGAUUUAAUUCUUCCCUUGUGUGCACUCCCCCCAUGCUCCGGUCCUUGCCAGCUGUGGCUCCCACAUCUGCACAUCCCCAAACAGGCAGGAGGAGGUGGUGUCACCAGAGGGCUUUGCAGGAAGGGUCGGUCUGAGCUGGAGGUGGGGAGGAAGCAUCCAAUGAGUGCAGGAGCAGGUGGAAAUGCUUCAGCAGAGUGAAGGUGAGAGGUUGGUUGGGUGUGUUUUGAGUCUGGGAAAAGAGGAAAGUGUAGCCAGAGCCUCUGUAAGUGCAGGAAGGCAGGAUGAGCUGGAGUCUGCAGAGUGGAAGAGGUAAGAGAAGGAUGGAAUUUGUGAGCCUUAAAUGCCUGUGAGAAGGGGCAGGGAGUGAUGAGCGUGGAAGCUGUGGGAUAUGAAAUAAAUCAGGAUUCUGCUGGAGCGCUGGCGGUGCUGGGAACGAGCUGCCUCUCCUCUCCUCUGCGCGGUGUCUCCUUCCUGUGGCACCUUCUCCUCUACCUGUGCUUCAGGGCACUGCUCCAGCAGCAGUCAGGACUGAGUGCUUCUCAUCAAAUCCCAUAAUUUUGCAUUGCUGAGAGGAGUGAGGUUCAGCUGGAAGAGAGUAGCUACAGGUAGACUGAGGAUGAGAGAGGUUUCUGGUGGCACACCAGUGUGACAAUUGAUUUUGGCACUCACACCACUGCUUUCUAUUUCCAGAGACUUGCAUGAGGGCAGUGUCUUACUGUUACCUUUGGGGAGUGCUUUGUUUCCUCGCCUGUGCAAGUGCUCUGGUUUCAUUUAUAAAUUUAUUCCUUGAAUGGUACUGCCUAGAGCAGCUGAGGAUCAUGUAAUAUAGGUGACAACUCGUGAGUUGCAUCAUUUGCUGGAUGUGUUGAACAGCAGCUUAAGUUUCUUAUUUAAAUUUCCAAUUAGAGUAUAGAUAUUUGUACCAUACCAGGGAUUCCCUUAGUGAGAACACGUGCUGUCUGUUGUGUGCUCUGCAGUGUGUGUGGGUUUCUGGGUGUCUGCUUCUGUAUUCUUUCUCCAGGAGUGGUUAAAUAUUGGAAGUUCAUCAGCUGUCUGAUUUUCUCUGUUGCCCUGAUUAUUGUUCCCCUUGUUUGACAGUUUUGCCAAAUCCCCAGUUAAUGAUGUUGCUGUGUCUUAAUAUUCUGUGUCUUCCCUUCCACAUCCUGGGAUGUGAGUGGUGUGUGCAUACACAUCUUUACAGGGAUUUUUGCCCUGUGCAGCAGAGGUGAUCUGUUUGUUUCUGCCCAAAGUGAUUCCCCAAAUCAAGCAGAAACAACCUCACCACAAUCUCUUCCCUUCCCUCUCCCUCCUGCAGGACGGAGGGUGCUGGAGAAGGGUUGUGGGUUGUGCUGUACCACAGUCACCUGUAACUGUUCCUUUGUUUUGCAGCAGCAGAGCACGUUGACAGCACCCCUGUCAUUGCAGGAACACUUGUGGCAGCAGGCUGCAUCCUUGGGAGGCGGUGUGCAAUCCCAUUCCGUGUUCUUGUCAUUCCUCAGCAAACUGCAUCCUCCUUAUCCCAGGGCAUCGCUUGCCAAGGGCUGCAGCUCGGUCAAUGACUACUUGUGUGACAGUCCUGUAAUAUAUUCUCCUGGGCAGAGCUGACACUCAGCACUAAUUGAAAGUAAAGAGCCUUUUCUUACUAAAAUUAUAACUAAAUUGGUGGUUGUGGCAUGACCUUGUCUGCGGGUGGAGUUUCACCAUCGCUGUUACCUGGCUCGUCUGAUCCUGGCUUCUCUGGCCUGGCUGAAAUUACAGGCUUGUCUGGCCAUAUGUUUUUCAAGAAGAACAGAUUGUGCUCAGACAAGCACAACACGGAGACAGAGACUCGUCCAAGGGUUUAUAUGGAUUGAAAAAUCCACAUUCUUUGAGGAUUUUUGGGUAAUGGCAAAGAGUUGGAGUCACCAGAACUGUCUGUUUAUUGAAUCCUUUUGAAAAUGAGCACUGACAGAACACAGCAUUAUUUAUUUUUUUCUAAUGGAAUUGUCUUCUGGCUAAUGGAUUUACUACUUAGAAGAGAUAAAUCCCAUUUUGAGCUGUCCUGCAGACCAGUUUAAAUGCCAGAAUGGUGGUUCUCCAUCUCUGAAAUCAGGGGUUUCACACAUUUCUCCACUUUUUUUGAUGAAUCUUUAUAAAUAAAUCUGUGGUGACUGUGAGGUACUUGCACAGCAAGUGGUGUAAAACCCCAUGUCCUCCAGCUCUGAAACUUGGACCUUGUGCACCCUCAGCACAAAAAACAGCUUGCCUUUUUUUUUUUUUUCUAUUAUUUCGUCUUGUGGAGCUGAAAUACAAAAUAAACCCCAUGAGUAAGGAAGGCUGUUAAGUAUUCGAUUGUGCCUUUUCAGGUUAUUUUAAUAUUAUUUGGCAGAAGUGUGUACUGUAGUAAUAAUUAAAGAAUAGAAACCAGUUAAUCAUGGAAAACAGAUGAGGUUUUGCUUAUGCCUUAGCUUGAAUCCAGCUACAGCAGCUUUAUCCGAGGCUCUCUGACAGCCCAAGUUUUUUUAUCCUUUUCCACACAUAUUCUUUUUUUUUUCCUACCAUGAAACAUUUCCAAAAGACAGGGAGAGGUCCUGGUGGAAGGGCAGACCAAAUCUGAAUUUUUAAUUAAGCGUUGAGUCGUCUCUUCAAAGGGUCGGGGCAUCCUCAGUGAUGUGGCAUCAGCCAAGGCUGACAUUCCACUUCAAACCCCGGGAAUGCAGCUGGCCCGGCCAGAUAAAAGUUGGGAUGUGGAGCAGCAAGGUGGGCUGGCAGAUAAUCAGCUGUGCCCCAGGAUCCUGCAGUCCCUGGGACAGCAGGAAUUCAGAUUUCCUGGAAAGUGAUUGGGGAUCUCAGCUGUGGCAGGGCUGAUAACACAAGGAAGGCACACAAGGAAAUGCACUUUUUUUAUUUUUUUGCAGUGGUUGGUGCCUGAGAAGCUGCUCUGCUGUCAUAGCCUGGCCAGGCACUGGGGAGAAAAAAACCUAAAUUUUGUUGUCAAAAAACAUCAAGAAAUUCUCUUCUUUCAGAGAGGCAAGAUGUGUUUGAAUUGGAAAAAAAAUUACGAAGUUUUCUUGUGCGUGUGCUUCUCAGUUUUUCUUUUAUAUCUGUAUUUUAAAGGGGAGAAUUAAGAAUAAGCAGAUUUUGUUUUCUUUGUCGGUUUUUGGGGAGGAAUUGGCCAAGAAGUGCUUGGAACCUUGUCAGUUCAGUGCCCUCCUGUAUAGACGAGCCUAGCUCUAAGGAAGUAUCCCAGAUUUUGUUUAUUUCCAUUUUUAGGGCACUCCAUAGAUGCACGUGGGAUUUGGGGGUACCUGAGCUUGGGUCUCUGUGAAGCCUGGAAAUGGCAACACUUCCUGGAUAAGGGUUGGAUAAUGGCCCAGGAAUGAUUUAUUUUGAUAAAUCUGAAUAGGAAAAUACUAGAUUUUUUUCUUUCUAAUUUUUUUUCUGUAGAUGAAUAAUAUAACUUAAUUGCAAUUUUAGUGAUUUAUCUGAUGCAUCAAUCUUUGUUUUGUAUGUCAAAACUUCUGCUGAGGUUUUGAUUAAUAGCCCUUUUAUUGUAGGUUUAAUGCAGAAUAAAGUGUAAAAAUAUAAAUAGCCUGCAUUCCUCAAUUAUCAUUUUCCUGUAGCUUCUUGUUGUUCAAUACCAUGCAGUGUUUGUGAAAUCUGAAAGGAUCUCCUUGUGUUCUCUUUUCCAUGGAAAACAGUAUAAAAACACCAGUGCUUAUGCAAUGUCUGUUGUGGAAAUUUUCCUUUUCUGAUAUAAAACAUAAGCCAAGUUAUUGCUUGAGUCUUGUGCUCUGUGUGUUCUGCCCUGUGCAGAAAUCUGGAUGAAAUUAUAUGUCUGCUGUAGCAGUGAAAAUCUGAGCUGACUUUUGAAACAAUCCUGGUGCCACAAAUCAGGAACAGUCAUUUCCAAUCCCAGGAAAAGUGUUAAUGGAGUCACUUUAUCAACUGCCUCCAUGGAGAGUCUCCCAAGAGAUUUUGCAAAAGUAUAUUUGCACAAUUACAAUGAUUAGUAAAAGCAAACUAUUACAUCUCCCAUUAGCAGCUUCCCAGCCAGGAGCAGCUGAUAAAAACAGCUUUUUGUGGUGCUGUCGGCCUCUGAGCUCACAGAUUUGCACAACUUGGACUGGUUGAUUUAACCCCCUUCCACCUUUUGGAUAAAAAAACCUGUAAUUUUCCUUAAAGCAUGUCUGCAGAAGUGUCUAGCCAGUGCUUCCUGUCCAGUUUUGACCUUCUUCUGCACAUGCCCCUGUGAUGCUGUAGGGAUUUCUGGCUAUCCUUAGGCUUGUCACAGGUGGGAAUGAGUCCAGGGGGAAAAAAGCCCUUCAAAAUAGACACAUCUGGAAGUGGCUGUAAAAGUUUCUAGGAGCUGGAACGCCUUAAGCAGAAUUUCUGGUGAGUUCACCCUGGUAGGGUUGUUUUUGUGCUGUUUUUUGGGGGUUUCACACCAAAGUGCAUGUGGAGAUAAGCUCAGCUUGGCAGAGAUGAUGUGGUGGUAGCACAGCAAAGGGCUGAGGUGCUCCCAUGACCUCCCUGGCCCUGCUCAGUCCCUUUCAGCUAAGGAAGAAUUGGAAACGUUUCCUUUGGGCUGUACUUCAGCUCAGGACUCACAUCAGACAAAACCUGAGGGUUUGUGGGGGCAGAGGGGACAGACUCCCAAAAAUAGCUGCAGGGGGAACCUGUUUGCCUGGAGCAGGCUCUGAGCCAGGUUGGAAAGGGCUUCCCAGCCCUUGGGAAGGCCACAGGGGGAGCCUUUUAUUUGUUGGAAAA